AGACCAAAUUAAUCAGAGCUCUUUUGACUGACAUCACGCACAGUACACACACAGACAGACAGAAGAAAACUCAGUCACUGUGUGGGGCCCUUUAAGAGGCAGGGCUAAGACAGCAGGCAUAUAUCAAACCAGAAAGAAUCUUAUUCCCUAGGGCAGGAUUGCUAAACAAAGCCCUGCGGGGGGAGUUACAAGCCAUGCCCUCAGGAUGUAAUACAAGAUGGAGGCUUGAUUUCACAACCAAAACUUUCCAGAGAAUAUAGUGAUAGAUGUUGGAGGUCCCUAGUCUAGCACAACAUCUUCUAAAAGAAAAUGAAACUUUUAAAAGUUAACUACCGACAGGGUAGAGAGAAAAGAAAAGAAACAGUUUAAAAAUACCUGAGGAAGAGCCUCUCAUUCCUAUGCAACUGAUUCGUCCACCAUGGAGAUUAGUUCAAUUAUUGUCCAAUGGAGUAGAACCCCUUGGCUGGGGUAGGGGAAGGAGAAGACCGCAAGCUGGCUCUGCGAAGACCCUUGAGCCACGCGUCCCAGCCCCAGCAUGAAGCAGUGAUGGAAGGAAAAUGUCUGGGAAGCCCCGGUGGAAUGCAACAGGAAGAUAGCAACAGCAUCUAUCUCAAAGUGUGUCCGGAAUUGGUGGGUUCUUGGUCUCACUGACUUCAAGAAUGAAGCUGCGGACCCUCGCAGUGAGUGUCACAGUUCUUAAAGGCGGCGUGUCUGGAGUUUGUUCCUUCUGAUGCUCGGAUGUGUUAGGAGUUUCUUCCUUCUGGUGGGUUCGUGGUCUCUCUGGCUUCAGGAGUGAAGCUGCAGACCUUCACGCUAUAAAUGAGUCACUCCAGGAGAUAGUAGUCAUACUUAAAGAAGAAAAGGAGCAUGUGAAAGUGUCUUAUCAAAUAGAAAAUACAAAUAAAGUAAUAGUUUAGAAACCAAAAAUGAAUACAUGCUAAGAAACAGUGUUUUGUGCCACACAUGACAAAGGUCACAGACUGUUAAAAAAAAUUGGUAAAAGUCACUGAGCAGACUGCAAUAGCCUUCAACAAUGUUUUUAAAAUAAAUAAAAUCAAAAGCAUACUCUGAAAGGGAGAAAACUCUGAUUUCAGUUACUACAUUAAAAUAUUCAAAUGCCUAGUUUCAACAACCAAAAAAUCAAAAGGCUUAUUAAAAAAACCAAAACAUCUAUCUCUGAAGAAGUCCAGACACUGGAUUUACUAGGCAAAUACUUUAAAAUAACUGUCUUAAAUAUGCUCAGAGAACUAAAAUAAAACUUGGACAAAUAACAAAAGGAAGCAAGAAAAAACAAAACGCGGAUAUCAAUAAAAAGACAGAAAUGAUAAGGUACCAGCCAUAAAUUAUUGAGCUCGAAAGUGCAAUAACUGAAAAGAAAAAUUUACUAGAGGACUUCAACAGCAGAUUUGAGCUGACAGAAGAAUCAGUAAACUUGAAGACAGAAUAAUUUAAGUCACCCAGCCUGAGGAGAAAGGGGCCAAGAGUUCUCACGUCUUCACUCUCCUGCCUGAGUAGAACCACUUUAUUACUGAGCUGGAGCUGAAUAGUAUGGACAAGGUGGCCUUCUUCUAGAGUUAUUCUUCUGAUCUUUGUGGAAGACUUAGGAAUGGAGUCUCAGCCACAGACUUCUUCAUUAGACAUUUUAGCGUGAUAUCGUCACUGUACAAAGUGAGAGCUGAGAAGAUGGUGAGAUGAUGGGAAUCCAUGGUUUUUCAGCCUGUUAACUCGUGACCUACCGGCCUUAUUCAGGGAAGAGUCUUUUCCCUAGGAGUGGGAGGUGGGUAGAUUAUAGGAGUUCUCGGUCCUUCCUGGCAAUGCCCGCUAAUAUUAAAUAUUUCACAACAUAAAGCUAGAAGGAUCAGUUUGAGGGCGAAAGUCAUUUUUGGUUUAAAUGCCACAUAUUCUAACCACACUAAAAGUUUAUAGAUUUUAUUAAAUUAAUGAUACUUUGAUUUGCUGCAUACUUUUAGGUCAAUUUCUUUAGAUGGCUGUUUUUAAUAAUUUUCACCAGUUUAGUGUCUGUUUCACUGUAGAGAUGGUUCACGGAAAGUUACUCGAUGCCAUUCCCAGAGUCUCACUCCCUCCAAAUGUAUUUUGUAUGCUUACAUGGUACAUAUUUUCAUAUUUUACUUUCAAAAUACCUGUAUCUUUAUACUUCAAGCAUGUUUUUGUACACAUUGAUUUGCAUAUAUCAUCUUUUUCAUUGAUUUUUAUCAAUAGCUAUUAUAUAUUUUAUUUUACUUUUCUGGAGUUUGCAAGAAGCUUUGCUAAUUAAUUACAAUUUUCAUUCAAAUAAUAUUUUAACACUUCAAAUAUGGUGUAAGAAUAUUACAAAACCCCAUUACUUUCAUAUCUCCCUGGUUUUUAGGCAAUUAUUAUCAUAACCUUCACUCCUGCAUUAGCUAUAAACCUCAUACUACAUUCUAAUAAUUUUAACAGUCAUUUUACUUGUGGAUUAAAUUAUAAAUUUAAAAAUGUACUUUUACAUUUAACCAUAUAUUUAUAAUUUCAGUGCUCUUCAAUUAAUUAUUUAUGUAUGUAUUUUCAUCUAGUAUCUUUUUUUCAUAUUGAAGACUUUUCUUCAAUGUUUUUCUUAGUGCAGGUCUCCUAGCAAUAAAAAAAUUCUUAUCUACUUUUUCUUGUAUUUUUGUCUAAAUUGUUUUCAUCUUGACUUAUAUUUUAAUAAAUUUUUUGCUGUAUAUACAAUUAGAAGUUGAGUGUUAAGUUUUUACUUUCAGAAAUUUAAAAAUGUCAUUCUAGUGUAAUUUGUUUUUCAUGAUUUUUUUUCUUGUAUGUAAUACGCUGCCACACAAACACUUACUGAGGUUGUUUUUUUUUUAAUUCUCCAAUUUUCAGAAAUUUAAUUAACAUGAUAUAGUUACUUCUUUAUUUUAUUUUUUCCUUUCCCCUUUCUUCCUUCCUUCUUUUGUUAAAUUUAUUCUUACUUAAAUCUUAUUUGAGAUGCUUAUGAGUUCUCAAUCUGAAACAGUUGAAAAGGUCAAUAAGUCUAUGCAUUUUUUUCCACUAUUUUUUAGUCUGUGCUUCAGUUUGAAUAUUUAUUAUCUUGUUUUAUGUAUCAUUUGUUUUAAUCCUAUUCAAUUAACUUUUCAUAUCAGAUAUUUUGCCUCUAGAAGUUCCAACUGGUUUCUUUAUAUUCCAAUUUCUCUCCUCAUUAUGUUUCUCUUUUACUUUUUAUCCUUGAACAUAUU
rnacentral:lncRNA from 1 species